rnacentral:rRNA from 1 species
AACGAACGCUGGCGGCAUGCCUAACACAUGCAAGUCGAACGAGACCUUCGGGUCUAGUGGCGCACGGGUGCGUAACGCGUGGGAACCUGCCCUUAGGUUCGGAAUAACUCCCCGAAAGGGGUGCUAAUACCGGAUAAUGUCUUCGGACCAAAGAUUUAUCGCCUUUGGAUGGGCCCGCGUUGGAUUAGCUAGUUGGUAGGGUAAAAGCCUACCAAGGCGACGAUCCAUAGCUGGUCUGAGAGGAUGAUCAGCCACACUGGGACUGAGACACGGCCCAGACUCCUACGGGAGGCAGCAGUGGGGAAUAUUGGACAAUGGGCGAAAGCCUGAGCCAGCAAUGCCGCGUGAGUGAUGAAGGCCUUAGGGUUGUAAGGCUCUUUUACCCGGGAUGAUAAUGACAGUACCGGGAGAAUAAGCGCCGGCUAACUCCGUG